GUGAGGAAUAUUGCACAAUGGAGGAAACUCUGAUGCAGCAACGCCGCGUGGAGGAUGACGCAUUUCGGUGUGUAAACUCCUUUUAAGAGGGAAGAUUAUGACGGUACCUCUUGAAUAAGCACCGGCUAACUCCGUGCCAGCAGCCGCGGUAAUACGGAGGGUGCAAGCGUUACUCGGAAUCACUGGGCGUAAAGGGUGCGUAGGCUGACUUUUAAGUCAGGUGUGAAAUCCAAUGGCUCAACCAUUGAACUGCACUUGAAACUGGGAGUCUAGAGUUCAGAAGGAGCAGAUGGAAUUAGUGGUGUAGGGGUAAAAUCCGUAGAUAUCACUAGGAAUAUCAAAAGCGAAGGCGAUCUGCUGGGAUGAUACUGACGCUGAGGCACGAAAGCGUGGGGAGCAAACAGGAUUAGAUACCCGUGUAGUCC
rnacentral:rRNA from 1 species